rnacentral:rRNA from 1 species
AGCGCAGGCGGACCGGCAAGUUGGAAGUGAAAACUAUGGGCUCAACCCAUAAAUUGCUUUCAAAACUGCUGGCCUUGAGUAGUGCAGAGGUAGGUGGAAUUCCCAGUGUAGCGGUGGAAUGCGUAGAUAUCGGGAGGAACACCAGUGGCGAAGGCGACCUACUGGGCACCAACUGACGCUGAGGCUCGAAAGUGUGGGUAGCAAAC